UUGAUGAUUCCUGAAGCCAAGCCCCACACUUCGCUACGAUAGAUCAGAGUUGGUGUAACAAGCAAAGGAUGAAAACAAGAGUAGAAUCACCUUUGAACAUUCUAGCAAGAACAAGUGAACAACAAUAUAGCAUGUAUUUAAGAUAUUAGCACAGGAAAAAAAUAAAUUUGAGAAUACAACUGCCGGGAUUGGGUGCUGCAUAUGUUCGGACCGGUUCUGUUUCCCGACGGCAAUGGUGACGCUGCUUCGUGGAUGUACAUACAUUGCCUUCGAGACUGGGAUGAGGCAGGUGGCUACAGCUGGGGAUCAGCUGUCCUAGGCUUCCUUUACCGCCAGCUGUGCGAGGCACGCAGACAGCAUGCACCGACCUCCACUAUGUCAGGCUGCAUCUUCCUUCUUCAGUAGUUCAGUUGUGGAUGUGGAGCCGACUACCGGUGGGUAGACCCAGGGUGUUUCAGCCUCUCCCCUAGAGCCCUGUUGGUGUGGACGAGUUAGAUCUGACGGUGGCAUACCUUUGGGACCAUGUCUCCUCUCCAUACGCCACCACCCAAUGUGCGUAUGUCGACUAUAGCAGUUGGACGUUCUCAGCCCUUCUACAGUUGUGUGGGAGCGGUAUCUAGACGAGCAGGUACUUGGGACGCCUCUAAAACCAAUGUGCAGGCAGACGAGGACCUGUGGAGUGUUAGGUGCCCUCUAAUUUGCUUCUACACCGUCAAUUCACUUGCCUCACAGGGUGGCCCGCUAGUUUGGGUCGCUGCAUAGCUGCCCCCUGAGGAGGUUUCGACCUUGACCGACUUGCACAAGUACAUGUUUUUGCUUUCUAUCUACGGCUUCGUAUUGUUCAUGUGGCUUACAAUUGUGGUUCAACUCUGAAAGUGAUCUAAUGCUCUAGACUAAGAGGAGGAGGGGGUGAAUUAG